GCCGGGCGCGGUGGCUCACGUCUGUAAUCCCAGCACUUUGGGAGGCUGAGGUGGGUGGAUCACCUGAGGUCAGGAGUUCGAGACAAGCCUGGCCAACAUGGUGAAACCCCGCCUCUA
ensembl:misc_RNA Metazoa_SRP Metazoan signal recognition particle RNA